UACGUAGGGGGCAAGCGUUGUCCGGAAUCAUUGGGCGUACAGAGCUCGUAGGCGGUGUGUCGCGUCGGUCGUGAAAACUUGGGGCUUAACCCUGAGCUUGCGGUCGAUACGGGCAUCACUGGAGUUCGCAGGGGAGACUGGAAUUCCUGGUGUAGCGGUGAAAUGCGCAGAUAUCAGGAGGAACACCGAUGGCGAAGGCGGAUCUCUGGUCCAAUCCUGACGCUGAGGUGCGAAAGCUAGGGGAGCAAACGGG
rnacentral:rRNA from 1 species